CACUCAAGACACAGUGAGAUUUGUGCA
rnacentral:piRNA from 1 species